rnacentral:rRNA from 1 species
GGGCCUCUGAGUGCUUAUUGCACCACAUGUGUUUUUCUUUGAAACAAACUUGCUUUGGCGGUGGGCCCAGCCUGCCGCCAGAGGUCUAAACUUACAACCAAUUUUUUAUCAACUUGUCACACCAGAUUAUUACUUAAUAGUCAAAACUUUCAACAACGGAUCUCUUGGUUCUCGCAUCGAUGAAGAACGCAGCGAAAUGCGAUACGUAAUAUGAAUUGCAGAUAUUCGUGAAUCAUCGAAUCUUUGAACGCACAUUGCGCCCUCUGGUAUUCCGGAGGGCAUGCCUGUUUGAGCGUCGUUUCUCCCUCAAACCGCUGGGUUUGGUGUUGAGCAAUACGACUUGGGUUUGCUUGAAAGACGGUAGUGGUAAGGCGGGAUCGCUUUGACAAUGGCUUAGGUCUAACCAAAAACAUUGCUUGCGGCGGUAACGUCUACCACGUAUAUCUUCAAACUUUGACCUCAAAUCAGGUAGGACUACCCGCUGAACUUAAGCAUAUCAAAAAGCGGAGGAA